GGCGCUCCCGCUCCCGCUCGCGCUCCGCGCUGGAGCCUCCGCCGGCGCCAUCGGCUCCGAGGACUGGGGGUAGUUGGUGGUGGCGCCGGGCCCACGGAGCCUGCGCGCGGCGGCGUCGUACGCCCGCGCCGCCUGCUCGGGCGUGUCGAAGGUGCCCAGCCACACGCGCGCCUUCCUAACGGGGUCACGGAUCUCCGCCGCGUACCGGCCCCACGGCCGCUUCCGCACGCCGCGCAGCCUCGGCUGCUCCGCCGCCGCCGCCUCGAACACGCCGCUGCCGCUGCUUCCGGCCGGUGACGACGAUCUCUUGGGCGCCAUGGAUGAUGAUGGAUGGAGACUCGCCUCUCGCCUUGUUUUGCUGCCGUGGAGCUUCGGGGGAUGGAUGGAUGGAUGGCUGGAUGGAUUGGAAUGCCGCUGGCGCCUGGCGGGGCGCGGGACUAUAUAUACACCACGGCAACGGGACGGCCGGGGGGGCGGCGGGACGGUGACAGGGUGAGGUGGACUGUGGGGCCCACGCCAAGCAGACGCACGGAAGGUGAGGCCUGAUCUGACUGUGGACCGGUCCUUGGGCGGCCGUGGGGCCCAGGGCGCCGCCCCCCAGCGCGUUUCGGUGGCUCCUGCCGUCGGGUUCCUAGGGCCGUUUCGUGCGCGUCGGGGCGUCGUGCUCUCUCGGGGAUCCGUCUCGUGGCUCACGUGGCACGCGACCGCGUAGGUUUUGCCCGCGCAGCCGUCGGAUCUAAGUUUGACGUUUUUAUGAUGUGUGUGAAUAGAGCUUGAGGUCGAUGCAGGUCUAGUUGUUCUUCCUCCAUCUUAGAGGAUAAUAAUAAUAAUAUAGUUGUACUAAUACCGUUAGACUAUUUCGUGCACAAUUUUGCAAACUACACACUCGAUUUAUAGCGAUAAUAUAUAAGUGUAUUUUUGGCAUGACUUUUUGGGUUCAGAUUUUUCCACACCAGCAAUUUUUUUUUUCCUUUCAUCGUGAAAUGAACGUGGAGCCGAGACGAGCCAUGAUCCUUCGAUCCUAUAUUGUGAAGUUUUUAGCCCAAGAGAGCCCAUCCAAAUAGGAAACAUGCAUGUCUACGAAUCGUGAUAUGACCAAAAAUUGCUAGAAAUGAAGGAGAAUGGGUUUAAUAAGAUUUCUUUUAAGCUAUGACAUACAAUCGGAGGUGCUCUCUUGCUGUACUCUUGCACAACUGUUUGAUUUUGCACUGCAUAGUUGUAGCAAAAAAAACCCCACCUAAAGGGGCCCGAGCAACUACCCCAUCGCAUUUCGGCAGCUCCUAUCGUCGGACUGCUAGGCCGGUUUCGUGUGUGUCGCGGCGUCAUGCUCAUGGGCUACCAUGUUCGUUCUACUGUUGGCUCGCUCCGAUAUGCCUCGUGUCUCUUAUGUUGGAUGUCGCGGAGGGAGGAGUAGGGGCGUUGCUCAAAAGGAGGGGAGGAUGGCUGCGCUACGCAAGAGGAAGGAGGACGUGGGUCUCGCCUGGAGCUCGUGAGAGAGGGUGAGGUGAGUAGAGUACCGAUUGAAACCUUAAGUUACAUAUUUAUAGUGGAUCAGCCUACAGGGCCUAAAUCUGGGCCUAUUUGGGCCGAGUUAUUUUUUCGUGGCGGUUUAGUUUGGACGCUAGUCUUCAAAAAUAGAUGUAUUUUUGGAGGCGGGCCAGUCAUAAAAUCCGUCUCUGUUAAUAGAUUUUAGGAGGCGGUUAUUUUUUAACCGUCUCUGUAAAUCUAUUUUGCGAAGCCUCUAUAAAUCUAUUUUAUGAGGCGGUUGAUUGUAACCACUUUAGUUAAGAAAAAACAAUCGUCUUAGUUAAUUCGAAGCAUUAACCGAGGUGAUUGAAAUGGCUGACCGCCUCUAAGAACUAAUCCUAAAUGUCCGAUUUUUUUAGUGGUGGAAGUUGCACGUCUACAACUUGUACACAGUUUUCUGGGGCAUCGUGCUCCUGCAGGGCACGCCGGCACGCUCACUCCUGCACUGGCCAUCGCAACGCGGUAUCCAUCUUUUCUUCGGCGUGUCAAGGAAAAAAAAAACGAGAAAAAAAAGAAACGCAGCGCGAGGGAAUAUUGUGCAGGUGGGCAGGUAGCGUGGCGGCGGCGGCGGCGGCUGCUGCUGAGUGCCCCCACCCGCACGCGGAACGGCGCGGGCCCAGGGCCCACAGCCCCGCCGCCGGGUCGUGUGGACUUUUUAGGCCUUGUUUACUUUCCAGAAAAAUUUGCAAAAUUUUUCACAUUCUCUGUCACAUCGAAUCUUUAGACGUAUGUAUGGAGUAUUAAAUAUAGACGAAAAUAAAAACUAAUUGCACAGUUUGGUCGAAAUUGACGAGACGAAUCUUUUCAGUCUAGUUAGUCCAUGAUUGGACAAUAUUUGUCAAAUACAAACGAAAGUGCUACAGUGUCCAUUUCUCAAAAUUUUUCGGAACUAAACAAGGCCUUAAAAUCCGGGGGCGGCGGCUGGUGGCGACGUCGUCGGCGGCACGCGGCAGGCACAUCGCGGCGCGGGGAGCAGCCGCCACGCCGCUGUCAGUGGGGGUUGGACGGUGCCCUGCCGCAGCGCACACACACGCGUCGCUUUUGCCACUUUUUUUUAUUCCCGCCGUCCGGGCGGCCGGGUCCCGGCGCGGCGCUGGGUGGGUGCCGACACGACGCGAGAGGGCGUUUGCCUCGAAGUCUCGGUGUACUUGCCAGGACAGCCGAACGUGCCGCCGCCCGCCUUGUGCGCGCCGCGUCUUCGGCCGCCGCUGCUCACCACGCGUGACGCGGACUUGACCGGGCGUUACCGCCCGUCCCGUAUCGGUACCGUGUAAAUUAACCCCGGAUCUGUAGAGGUUUGUCGACGAAUGUGGAAACAAACGUAUAUGUACGGCCAUGUGGAAACAAACGUAUAUCACAUCGAAUCUUUAGACGUAUGCAUGGAAUAUUAAAUAUAGAUUAAAAUAAAAAUUAAUUACACAGUUUGAUCGAAAUUGAUGAGACGAAUCUUUUAAGCCUAGUUAGUUUAUAAUUAGACAAUAUUUGUCAAAUAUAAAUGCAAAAUAUUAUUAUUUAUAAAAAUUAAUUGCACAGUUUGAUCGAAAUUGACGAGACGAAUCUUUUAAGCCUAGUUAGUUUAUAAUUAGACAAUAUUUGUCAAAUAUAAAUGAAAAAUAUUAUUAUUUCUAUUUUGCAAAAUUUUUUGGAAGUAUAGUCUGCAACUGAACACAUGAGACCGUAGUAGUACACGGAACGGAUCUGUCAUGACACUUUGAAACUUUGCAUGCUCUGUAGGGUUGCGAGCGGAGUAUAGUCUGCAACUGAACACAUGAGGACCUUGAUUACCUUGGCCUUGUUCAGUUCCAAUUUUUUUUUUAAUUUUUGAUAUCGUAUCACUUUCAUUUAUGGAGCAACUAUGUUCGAAAGAUUUAUUUUACGAUUGUAUAAUUUUGUUUUUAUUUAUAUUUAAUAUUUUAUAUACGUGGCGCAAAAUUCAAUGAGACAAGAAAUAUUUAUUUUUUUUGUUUUUGACGUGAACUAAGGCCCUUGCAAAAUUUUUGCAAUUCUUUUCGGCACAUGUAUGAAUAUUAAAUAUAGAUAAAAAAACUAAUAAUUUACAAGACAAAUCUUUUAAAUCUAAACAAUAUUUGUUAAAUACAAACGAAAAUACUACCAUGUCUAUUUUGUAAAAAAAAAAAGUUGCAACUAAACAAGUCCGAGAAAGAGAUUGCUGAUUUCCGUGAAAACUUUUUUUUCUUUUGGCGAUAGAUUUCCGUGAAAACUGAUGAACUGCAUGAGAGAGAUUUACUUUUGCUGGAAGUUCUUGCCUUGCAUGAUCGGGGAAAAGAGUGAUCUACAAAAGCACGCUAGCUAACAGUAACAGCUGCCUAUUUACAUUGGUGUUACACACGGUAGCUGCCUGGCUGAUGACACCUUCGAAAUUGGUGAUGCUCAUUUCGGUCGCUACUACAUGACCAUCUCGACGGGCGGAGGCAGGUUGAGGUCAAGAAGCCCCAAGCCCACCACCUGCCCCGCAGACGACGACGACGACGAUGACCACCGUGCGGAGCGGCUCCUCCGCUCUUCCUCGCUCCUCGGCGGCAACAACUGACGCAGCGCCAGCGCAGCCGUCGGGUCCAUGAACAGCUGGUAGGGCUUCACGGCCGCCGCCGCAUCAGCCGGCAGCGCCAGGCUGAGGUCCAGUGACGCCGCGACCGCCACCGUCACCGACUCCUGCGGCGGCAGCGGCAGGGACCACGAAGACGACGACGACGGCUCGUACACCACGCCGCUCCCGCUCGCGCUCGCCGCUGGAACCGGCUCUGAGGCCUGGGGGUAGUUGGUGGUGGCGCCGGGCCCGCGGAGCCUGCGCGCGGCGGCGUCGUAGGCCCGCGCCGCCUGCUCGGGCGUGUCGAAGGUGCCGAGCCACACGCGCGCCUUCCGCACCGGGUCACGGAUCUCCGCCGCGUACCGGCCCCACGGCCGCUUCCGCACGCCGCGCAGCCUCGGCUGCUCCGCCGCCGCCGCCAACGGGCACACACCGCCGCCGCUGCUGCUGUUGCUUCCAGACGACAGCGACGUCGAUCUCUUGGGCGCCAUGGGUGGAGCAGUAAUCCAACUGGUGGUGUCGCCUCGGCCUCGCGUACUCGCCGCUCGUAGCCUGUUUGCCUUGCUUUUCUGCUGGUUGUUUGUUUGCCGUGGAGCUCGGAGGAUUGAUGGAUGGAUGCCAAUGUCGCUGGCGAGGCGCCGGAAUAUAUAUAUAUACACACGGGACGGGAGAAGGGGCGGCCGGCGGCUGGACGGUGACAGGGGUAAAGGUGGAGUGUGAGGGGCCCACGCCGAGCAGAUGCACGGAACGUGAGGUCUGGUCUGACUACGGACCGGGCGGUGGGGCCCAAGGCGCCGCCCCGGCCGGCGGCUCCUGCCGUCGGGUUCCCGGCCGGCCCGUUCCGUGUGCGUCGCGUCGGCGCGUCAUGGUCAGGCGCGUGCGUGAGCUACCGUGUGUGCUCUGCCGCUGGCUCGCUCGGAUCCGCCUCGAUCGUGUGGCUCGUGUUGGAUGUCGCCGCCGCGUUGAUUUGCCUGCGUAGCCGUCGGAUCGAUGUUGGACGCUUGAUUAUCUAUGUGAAUACACGAUUUAUAGACUUUGGCCUUGGUUUAGUUCACUCAAAAACCAAAAAUAUUUCAAAAUUAUCUGUCACAUCAAAAUCUGUGUUACAUGUAUGGAGCAUUAAAUAUACGCGAAAACAAAAACUAAUUGCACAGUUUGUCUGUAAAUCGUGAGAUAAAUCUUUCGAGUGUAGAUAAAAUUUUUGAGAACUAAACAAGACCUAUUUCGUGCACAAUUUUGCAGACUACAUACUCGAUUUAUAGGGAUAGUAACUGUCUUUUUUGGUUCGUGUUUUUCUACACCAGCAAUUCAUUUUCUCUCUCUCUCUCCUUGUGAAAUGAACGUGGGGCUUUCUUAAAAAAAUGAACUUGGAGCCAAAAGGAGCUAUGAUUCUACGAUCAUAUAGUUAUGAAGUUGUAGUCCAAAAGAGCUCUUCCAAAUGAGAUCUAGGGAUGAAAACAUGCCUAUCUACGAGACGUGAUAUUGCCAAAGUUUACUAGGAAUGAAGAAGAAUAGGUUUAAUAAGAUUCCUUUGAAUGUGCCAUGAUCCUCAAUCAUAUAGUCAUAAGCGGAUCCACCAGUAGCGCGAGCCAGGGCGGCCGCCCUAGGUCCUUUUAGGACUGAUCUAAAACUAUAUAUAAAUUUUAGAUAUUAAUACGAAAUGAAAAGAGACUUCUAGAGUAUCCGAUGGAGGUUGAAAACACCUUAGAUGUCUUGGACCAUCAUGUGUGGUUCAGCCAAUAUAGAAAACCACAGCCCACAAAGCGCAAUAAGAAUAUGAUCGGUGUUUCUCACGUUUCUCGCUAUUCUCGACUUCUGACUUUCUGGUCAUCUCUCUCGUUAAUUCACAAACUUGCGGAACCUAAGAACCUGCGCCGGGCUACAGGUAUCUUCAUUUUUUAUUUGCCCUUUUCACAUAGUUAAUUAUUUAAAAUUUGAUUAAGGAUGAAUCAUCGAAUGAUUUAGUGAAGUCAGUUUAGAACUAUUAGUAUUAGUAUGUAUGACUUCUCUUAAUUUAAGGAACAAACUUCUUUAAUUUUGAUGUAGAAAAUAUAUACUGGAAACUUUAAUAUUGGUUAAAUUAUUAUGUUGACAAAGCAACUUAUGGAAUUUGUUAGCUUAUAUUGUCAUUGGUUUACUAAAAUUUUAUAGUAUAAGUUCGCCUUAGGUCAUUUCUCGAGCUGGAUUCGCCACUAGUGAGAAGACGAGCCGAAAAGAACCGGUUCAAAUGGGGUCCAAGAAUAGAAACAUGCAUGAUCGCAUAGGAAAUGUGGAAUGAGCGGAACGCCCGCUGCUUCAGGGGAGGCAGCACGCAGCUCGCCACAGUGAAGGACAACAUCAAAAGGGAAGCAGAGCUAUAGAUCCUAGCUGGCGCCAAGCACUUGGGGAGUCUAGUAAUGUGAGUAAUGGGUUAGCACAUUGAGUAGCGAGGAUGCAUGAGAACUGAAAAUGUAAACCGCCUCGUUUGUAUUUAAACUCUAUAUAUAUGCUCUUAACGAAAAUACGCGCAAAUCUUUGCGUGAUUAAGAAAAAAAAAAGACAAAAGGCACGAAAAUCUUAGAGAAAACAAAAGCAACAGAUUCACAUGCGUGGCGACUGCUGUGAUCGAUUGAUCAAGGUAUAGCAGUGCGGGAGCAAAAGCGAACAAAAGAGGAGGUACUCAUUGGCGGAUUCAGGGGGGGCUGGGGGGGGCUGCAGCCCCCCCCCCCCUUGGGCAAGAAAUUUUGUUAACAAAAAUAUUUUUUAUACUAAAAAUUCAUAUUUUUAUUAACAAAAAUACAUUUUUAGUUCUAAAAAUUCAUAUUUUUCAACAAAAAUACAUUUUUAGUUCUAAAAAUUCGUUUAGUGAAUUCCUGAAGAUAAAAAACUUUUUGUAUUUGAUAUUUUUCUAUGCUUAUUGUGUAUUUUUUUACUUUGAGUACUUUAAAAAUUAUCAAUUUUAGCUAUAUCUAUUAGUGUACUAGGUCUAACGAGCAAAAAAAAAAUUUUUAGCUUAUGUCAUUUAGCCCCCAUCUCAGUCCGUUUCUGGAUCCGCCACUGGAGGUACUACCGUUGUUUGUUAACGUUUCUAAGCUGGAGAAGGCGACAACAAACCAUUUUAAUUCUAAAGAAAUAAAAAUAUCAGUCAAAUCGACGUCGUGGUGAGAAAAAAGAGAGGGAAAAACAAAAGAAACGCAGCGCGAGGGAAUAUUGUGUGCAGUGCAGGUACGUACUACCAGGUAGCGUGGCGGUGGCGGCGGCUGCGAGUGGCCCCCCACCUCACCCAGACGCGCGCGGACGGAACGGCGCCGCGGAUCGUGUGGACUUUUUUAAAAACCGGGGGAGCGGCGGUUGGUGGCGACGUCGUCGGCGGCACGCGGCAGGCGCAUCGCGGGGAGCAGCCGUCACGCCGCUGUCAGGGGGUUGGACGGUCUGAUGCACCGCACGCACACACGCGUCGCUUUACCACUUGUUUUUGUUUUUUUUUUAUAAAAAAAUUCCCGCCGUCGGGGCCGGGUCCCGGUGUGCCGACAUGACACGAGCGUGCGUUGCCUCGAAGUCUCGGUGGAGUACUUGCCAGGACAGAUCGAACGUGCCGCCGCCCGCCUUGUGCGCGCCGCGUCUUGGGCAGCUCAUCUCGCGUGAACGCGGACUUGAGGUCUGUAAGCUGUCGACGCACGUCGAAACGAACCUCAGGACUUGUCCAAAAAUUUUUUAGAUUUUGACACUGUAGUAUUUUCGUUUUUAUUUGACAAAUAUUAUUUAAUCAUGAAGCAACUAGGCUUGAAAGAUUCGUCUCGUGAUUUACAGGUAAACUGUGCAAUUAGUUAUCUUUUUUAUCUAUAUUUAAUGUUCCAUGCAUGUCCCACAAGAUUCGAUGUGAUGGGGAAUCUUGUAAAGUUUUGGUUUUUGGGUGUAUCUAAACAAAGCCUUAUACUGUAGUAGUACUUUGCAAGCAAGAUUUGUUUAGGCCUUGUUAGUUCAUCCAAAAAAGCAAAAAAUUUUCAGAUUCCCAGUCACAUCGAAUCUUGCGGCAUAUGCAUGGAGCAUUAAAUAUAAACGAAAACAAAAACUAAUUGCACAGUUUACCUGUAAAUUAUGAGAUGAAUCUUUUGAGCCUAAUUAGUCUUUGAUUGGACAAUGUUUGUCAUAUAAAAACGAAAGUGCUACAGUACACCAAAAUGCAAAAUUUUGGGAACUAAACAAGGCCCACCCCUAAAAACUCAAAACUUUUCAAGAUUUCUUGCCAUAUCGAAUCCUGCAGCAAAUAUGCAUAGAGCAUUAAAUAUAGAUAAAAAUAAAAACUGAUUAUACAGUUUGUCUGUAAAUAACGAGACGAAUCUUUUAAGCAUAGUUACUCCAUGAUUAGUCAAUGUUUGUCAAAUAAAAACGAAAAUAUUACAAUGUCGUUUUCCCAAAAUUUUUUGAAACUAAACAAGACCUUAGUUCAAAUUUUUUUGUAAAAUCAGAGUAUUAAAUAAAGUCAAAAAUAAAAAUCAGACAGUUCAUCUGUAAUUUGCGAGACGAAUCUUUUUAGCCUAGUUAGUCUGUGAUUAGAUAAUAUUUGUCAAAGUAUACAUGAAAGUGCUAUAGUAUUUAUUUUACAAAAAAUUUUGAAACUAAGAGCAUCUCCAAGAACUUGGUAAAAUUCACUUGCUAUAUCUUGGGUUAUAGCAAGUUGCUAAAUUGUUUGUCAAGUAAAAAAAAGAUAUGUCUCCAACAAGUUGGUAUUUUUACUUGGUAUAAUUCAAAAACUGGGCCCAUCUUUGUCAAUUUCUGGUACUGGGCCGCUGCGAUCUCUCUCUAUCGUGCCAGCCGCCGCCGCCGUAGCUUUCGUCUGGCCGGUGUCAUCACAGGACACGAUCAAUUCGUCCGGCCGGAAUCAACACACAUCCGGUACUGCUGCUGCUUCCGGCCGGCCAGCACCAGCGACGCAGGCAUCUCCUCCUCCCCUUUGAGGUCAGUAGGUCAUCUCUACGCUCGGCUAGUCUCUGCGGUUUUUUUUCUGAAAAUUGUUUCAUGUUUUAGUUUGCUGUUGAUCCAUGGUGUUCACAACUCUUGAUAUUCAGAAAACAUGCCUAGGAAAAGAUCCCGUCUUCAAAGCCAAUUAGAUGAUUCAUCAUCCGAUGAUGAUGAAUCUUUCUUUCUAUCGGCUGCUGCAAUUGUCGACACCUUCUCCAGUGAGGAAAAAAACAUGGUGGCUCGGUUCCAGGCCAUAGAGUUAUUUACCGUGAUAGAGAAGGCGGGCACGCGAGGAUGUUUAAAGAUUAUUUGGAUAAAAAUCCAACGUACGGCCCUAAAAUGUUCCGUCGGAGGUUUGUGUUCCUUCAUUUCAUACUGAUUUGUUGUAUGUUCGUAAAUAUCACUCUAGUUGUUAAAUUAUGGAUUUGUUUUCUUUAGGUUCAGAAUGUCUAGGGAGCUUUUCAAACGCAUAAUGAAGGCCGUCGAAGAACAUGAUGAUUACUUUGUGCAGAAAAGGAAUGGAGCUGGUGUACUUGGAUUGUCUUGCUUUCAGAAGAUAACUGCUGCAAUGCGUAUGCUCACAUAUGGGGUUCCAGCAGAUGCGACUGAUGAGUACGUGCGCAUUGGCGAAAGUACAGCACUUGAGAGCCUACAUAGAUUUGUUGCUGCAGUGGUUGAAAUUUUUGAAGAUGAAUACCUUAGACAUCUCAAUGAGAAAGACAUAGCACGCCUACUUGCAAUGGGUGAGAACGAAGGCUUCCUCGAAAUGUUAGGGUCCAUCGAUUGCAUGCAUUGGGCGUGGAAGAACUGUCCAUAUGAUAAACAAGGGCAGUACAAGGGGCAUGUGGAGAAGCCGACUAUCAUCUUGGAAGCUGUUGCUAGCGCUGAUCUUUGGAUAUGACAUGCCUUCUUUGGAAUGCUCGGGUCUCAUAAUGAUAUCAACGUUCUCCAUAGUUCUCCUUUAUUUGAUAACUUGGCGGAAGGUAGAGCUCCUGAAGUGAAAUAUUCUGUUAACGGCCACGAGUACACAAUGGGCUACUAUCUUGCAGAUGGUAUAUACCCCGAUUGGGCUACUUUGGUCAAGACAAUCAGACAUCCUAUGGGUAGCAAGAGGCAAUAUUUUGCUAAAGCGCAAGAAGCUGCACGGAAGAUGGUGGAGAGAGCUUUUGGUGUUCUACAGUCUAGGUUAGCCAUUGUUCGAGGACCGGCUCGUUUAUGGGACGUAGAGACAUUGUCAUUGAUCAUGACAGCCUGUGUGAUCAUGCACAACAUGAUUGUCGAAGACGAAGGAUUUGUGGUGGACCCAAACGAGCGUUUCGAUUACGGUGGAGAUAAUGUCCAACCUGAUCAUGGCCACGCUCAUCGAACACUUGAGGAGUUCAUUGAGGCGCACAAAAAAAUCCGAGAUAAGAACACACAUGAGCAGUUGAAAGGAGACCUAAUCGAACACCUUUGGAACCAUCAUCCAGAUUUAUAUUAGAUACCUUUUUCAAUUUUAGUUGCUUCUGUUCUAGUUCUUCAUCGCAUGAAACUUUAGUUGCUACUGUUUUAUUUUUUACUCAAGUACAAUGCACCAGGAAGAUUUGCCGGCCACCAAGAACUGAGCAACGCCCAUCAUCGGCGCUGAUCAAAUGGCAGCACAUAGUGACAAGCACAAUAGCAUGCAAAUAAAGCCAACAUGCUGAAACAAAUAGCAUGCAAAUGACGCAGAUCAGAGGAAGAUUUCAGGACUGGUUCAUAUAGUGAUACUGAAACAAAUGUCGUGCUCAAACUUAAACUUUGAUAAUAGGUUCUACAGACUGAUACAUAAGCUGAACAGAGUACAGAAGAAAUAAUUCAACAAAUCUUUUUUUCUGCAUCAUUUUAAACUAAACUCAACUUUCUUGAUGCUUCGCGAGUAUCUUCUUCUGCAUAAUUUCAAUCCAAGAACGUUGCGUCGGAUUGAGGGAGGUCAUGUCUGCUAGCAUAAUAUCCUUUUCCUCUUUUAUCAAGGUGGCAUCAGCUAAUUUUGUUUCAUUUUCUACCCUCUUUUUCUGCAGCUCGGCUUCAUUUUCUACCCUUUUUUGCUCUAGGUGUAGUGUAGCCUUCUCUAUCUCAAGGGUUUGCAUGAACCUUUCCUCUUUGGUCUUCUCCUUUUCCUUGUCCGCAGCCUCCUUUUUGGCCCACAUCAUGUUGAAAGCUUCGAUGCAAGCCUGCCCACCUCCUUGCCUCAUUUUUUCCUUAGCCUGUGCAAAUAAUUUUGAACAUAUCAAUAAGGAAUAAUUGUUGGGAGACCACAAUAGGGAAAAUUUGCAGGUUAUAUGCUAUAUACCUUCUUUAUCCCAUCUGACCUUUUCCUUGGUUGGGUUUCUUCAUCAUCAACAGGUAUGACUUGAUCAUUAUUAGUGACUCCUUCAUCCCUUGGCCUAGACACCUUUCCUGCCUUCUUGUUCUUUUUGCUGGCUGCUAGUUUUUCUAUCUCUGCUAGUUCUAUCAUAUUGGCUCUCCACUUGUCCUCCCCCUUGAGUAUGGCCCAGCAGUGUUCAAGAGUAAACGUUUUGUGGUCCUUGUCUAAGUCCACAUACAUCUUUUUUGCUUCAUUAAGCUACAGGGAGCUAUUGUCAACAUAUAUACAUUUUCAAAUGCAAAACUUAAUGUACAACAUGCUGAACAUAUUUUGAUACCUUAUCCUGGAUAGUUGUGCCACUUUGGUUCCUACGAAGAAUGGCCUCAUAGUGAGAACAAAAUUUGUUCACUUGCAUCUGGAUUGUCAACCAACGAUGCAUAAUGGAACUCUCUGUACGAGGAAGUGCACUAUCAUUGUUUUCUUCAUAGUAUGCAUGAACUUUCCCCCAAAAUGUAGUACGCGAUUGAUUAGCCCCGUUGAUUGGAUCCUUGCUAACACUCAACCAUCCCUUGCAAAUAACUUCAUCCUCCUUGUAAUGAAAAUUUUUUGUCCUCCUUGGUCCUCCCUUGGUACUGCGGCUUGCCUGUACUUCGUCAACUUGAAUCUCAGAACCUUGAGUGGAUGGAAUGGUAAUGUCAUCUAUACCAGCAACAAAACCCUCUGCACUAUUCAGCAAAAUGUUUUCCAAAAAAUCUCCAUCUUCAGCCAUCACAACUGCUAUACAACAAAUUCAGAACAUUGAAUUUCAUGUAAAGAUCAGGGACAACAAAUAUAAUUAAAGGGACAGCACAUCAAGUACUCCAUUUAGUGCAGCCAUCGCAUCAGAAAAAAUUCAGAGACAGCAACGACAUAGAUGGCUGAAGAUGAACAGCGACAACAACAUUGACAUAGAUGGGCAUCAAUAACAUUGAACAGGAUUCUGAGGUGAAACAACUACAAAAAUGGCAACAUAGGGACUGCCAUAUAGCAUCUUGAUCAUAUCUGAAGUUCAGCAAAAGACUCAUGAAAGAUAUCUACCAAUAAAUUCAAAAGACCACUAGUCCGCUAGCAUGCAGGUCUGAUCAGUACUAUACCAAAGUACUUCACAGUACUGGACUACUGAGCUCCUCACAACAAUAGCACUGAAUAACAGCAGGUUGCAGAAGUCCUAUCCUAUAAACACAAUCUAACAAGUUCUUGUUUCAACUACUCUUAGUAAACAACACAGUGAUGCGGCACUUGUCCAAUCAAACCUAGCAUCUUGGAUCAGUAAUGAACAAAAUUGCUUCCAGAAGAAAUGUUUGCAAUUGUAGAACUGUUAUAAAUUCUCACCACAGUCAGCGAUCAUGCAUGCACUUCCCAGUACCCAGAAGAAAGAACAAUUUCUAUCGAAAUUCAAUUAAUCCUCUCCAGUCUCCAAAGCACCAGCUCUGGUCUCUCAAACUACCCUAGAUCAGCAUCACAACACCAGUGCUCUUCAACAGAAAACCUAGGCGAGAUAAGGAUGUGGAGAGAAAAGCAUGCGGCGAGAAGAAAGUAGCCGGCAAUACCUGAUUCCCAAACUGGGCGAAGCCGGCGCGACCUUGCUCAGCGUCUUGAAGGGAACAGAAAACGGCGGACCGAUCUUCCCUGGCGCACGAAAGGAGACGGCACCGCACCCUUAUCACCUGGAUCUUGCGCCGCUCCUCUUCCAGAAAACGGCGCCGCACGAAAGGAGCCGACACCGCACGAAAGGAACAGAAAACGGCGGCGCGAAUAGAAACCGGCAGCUCCCGCUGGAACACCUGGAUCUUGCGCCUCUCCUCCUCCAGCGCGAGUAGGUACUCGCGGCAGCGGCGGCGGCGGUGGUCGGCUUGCGCGCGAGAUUGCUUUGGCGCUGAACACCACUCUGGACCGGGCGGGAAGAAGUACAGACCAGUCUGCGCGCGAGAUUUCUCUGGGUUUCGCGCGCGCGAGAAUAGGCGGGAUCGAGCGGGACGGCGAUCGGCGAGUGACAAAAUUCGCGAUACAAAGCUCCAGCCGCGCGCGUAUUUCUCCGCAGUUGAGGCCGAUGGAUGCCAAGUUGGGAUAAAUAGCAAGUUGGGAUAAGGAGUUGUUGGAGAGGAGUUUUUCAUGCUUUUAACAAAUUUUAGAGGAUAGCAAGUUGGGAUAAGGAGUUGUUGGAGAUGCUCUAAACAAGGCUGAAGUCGAACUAUACAUGACAUAGGCCUUGUUUAGUUCACCACAAAAACCAAAAACUUUUCAAGAUUCUCCGUCACAUGGAAUCUUGCAGCACAUUCAUGGAGCACUAAAUAUAGUAAAAAACAAAAACUAAUUACACAAUUUGGCUGUAAAUCACGAGAUGAAUCUUUUGAGCCUAAUUAGUUUAUAAUUAAACAAUAUUUACCACAAAUAAACGAAAGUGCUACAAUACCCAGAACUAAAAAAAAUUUAGAAACUAAACAAGGCCAUAAGAAGAGAUUUAGCAUGUUUAGCCGGGGCCAGAAAAAAUGGAUUAACUUUGCUGGUUUUUUUUGCCUGGCAUGAUCGGCAGAAAGAGCUACGGAAACACACUAACAGUAAUAGCUGCCUAUUUACAUUUGUGAUUACACAUGGCUAGCUAACUGAUGACCUUUGAAUAUUUGGGCUCUGUUCAGUUCUCAAACAUUUUAUAAAAUUUUUACAAAAUUUCAUAAAAUCUUUCGAUACAUGUAUAAAACAUUAAAUAUAGAUUUAAAAAAAAUAAUUAAUUAUAUAAUUUACAUGUAAUUUAUAAGAUAAAUCUUUUUAGCCUAAUUAAUUUAUAAUCAGAUAAUAUUUUUUAAAUGCAAACGAAGAAAAUGCUACGGUAGCUAUUUUGCGACGCCCCAGACCCACCACCUGCAGCGCAGACGACGACGACGACCACCGGGCGUAGCAGCUCCGCUCUUCCUCGCCCUUCGGCGCCAACAACUGUCGCAGCGCCGGAGUGUUCAAUUUGUGCAAGCUGAUGUGAGGAUUUUAGGAGAUACCAUGGCACUGCAAUUUUGGUACGAGAUUAAGUAUUUUGCUCAUUGGUUAAAAUUCUUGCACUGCGAAGUUGCAAAUCGACUAGUGCACAGGGGGGAAAAAAAUGGAGGCGCAGCUACACGGAAACAAACCAAAUGUGCUUCCUAUUUACAGCACAUUUGGUAACCCCUUUUGCGACAAAUUACUAUCCCCGACGCUACAUGACCAUCUCGGCCGGCGGAGGCAGGUUGAGGUCGAGUCCCAGUCCCAGCACCGACGGCGACGGCGACGACGACCCCGAGUAGCAGCUCCGCUCCGCCUCCCUCUUCACCGGCGCCAACUGCAUCGGGUUCAGGAACAGGUACGGCUGGGCGGCCACCAUCGCCGGGAAGAGCCCAAGGCCUAGGUCGAGCGACGACGGCGACUGCGACUGCGACGGAGCCGGCGGCGCAGCGACCGCUACGGUCACUGCCAGCGGGUGGUAGUCGUCGUCCCUGGUGGAGAACGAGGACGAACAAGACUCUUCCCGGGCGCUGGCGCUGGCGCUGGCGCUCGGAACCUGCGCGGCGGCGCACGGCGGCGGUGCUGGGACGACGGCGUCGGGGUAGGUGUAGUUGGUGGUGGCGCGCGGGCCGCGGAGCCUGCGCGCGGCGGCGUCGUAGGCGCGCGCGGCCUGCUCGGGCGUGUCGAAGGUGCCCAGCCACACCCGCGCCUUCCGCGCCGGGUCCCUGAUCUCCGCCGCGUACCGGCCCCACGGCCGCUUCCGCACCCCGCGCAGCCUCGGCUUCCCCUGCUCCGGCUCCGGCACCGGCAGCUCCGCCGCCGCCGUGACCUCCUCGCUGAUG
rnacentral:lncRNA from 1 species